UAUGUAACUUUUAGUCCAUUAUGCACUCAUUUCAGGCCAAGAUUCUGUAUGGUUUCCCCUUUUCUGAAGAUGAACGUCAAAAAAUGAAGUUAAUGAUCCAGAGCAAUCUAUACUGCUAUCUGCGCAUACUGCUCGAAGGACGUGAGAGAUUUGAAGAGGAAACUUUGAGGUGAAAGGGGAAAAGCCUGUUAUUUGACCAACCCAGUUCUUCGGGUAUAUUGUGAAGAAAGCUGCCUUCGCCUCUUCAUAUAUUCCUCUGCGAUGAUGGAAAUAGUCAUGGUUAGAUCUUGGCACAUUGCUUGUAGGAUGCAAACGGUUUGAAAGAAAAAGGUCAGGGGAGAAGGGAAAAAGACCGAUGAUUAAUAGAUGUCACUCUUCAGGUAUUACAUUAGGAAAGGCGGCAUCUUUUGAACCUCUCUCUUAACUGCAUUACUUCCUCUGGAGUUCGAACAGUUACUCCGGGUUCUUUUACAGCAUGGAGCGAUGGGAUGUGAGGCAUUUGGAAAGUUAGGCGCUCUAAAAUGUCAUAGCAGAAAUUAAUCUACUAAUUUUCAUAUGUAUAUUCAUCUGGAUCUGCUGGACUAAUUACUAAUCAAUUCACAGCGAAUAUGUAUCCAAAGGAAACUAUUUUGACCUCUUCCAUGGGCUCAAGGCUGAAACAAUUCUCAGAUUGGCUUCUCAAGGUAAUAGCAUCUGCUAAUCUAGAAGCCCUAGUUCUCUCUGCCAGUCAUGAAUACUCUCCUUUUAUCGAGGAACUGUGGAAGAAUGAAGCCAUUCAAGUCACGUACAACCGAAGGAACAACUUAGAAAAGCUCCCUAGAGUGGCUACAUUUUUUUCUGGAGCGGGCUGUUGAGAUUUUAAAAGAAGAGUAUGAGGUCUCUGAUACGGAUAUUCUGUACGCAGAGGGAAUCACCUCUUCUAAUGGUCUUGCAAGCAUGGAAUUUUCAUUUCCCACGUCAGCAAAAGCUGAUGGAUACAUAGACUCCAUUGAUCAGCAUUGCAGCAUGAUGAGGCAAACGUCACACCAAAAUGCACUUGAUAGAAAAUCACCAUCAACUACUAUUUCUCGUACCAACUCAUCAGGGUGCAUCCUAGAAGCCUAGGGGAAAACUGCAAGUGGUUGGAGAUGUUUGAAGAUGUUAAUAUCGUCUUGUUCUGCAUCUCAUUGACAGACCAUGACGAGUUCUAUGAGGACAAUAAAGGAUUACUGAUGAACAAGAUGAUUGCAAGCAAAGAGCUUUUGAAAGUGUCGUCACUCAUCCGACCUUAUAUAAAAAGGACUUCCUUCUGAUUAUGAACAAGUUCAAUCUGCUCAAAGAAAAGAUUGAACAAUCUCCUUUAACUCGAUGUGAAUGGUUUUGUGAUUUCCAUCCAGUGAUCAGCU